UGCCUUAAGCUAUACAUGCAGUCGAGCGGACAGAAGGGAGCUUGCUCCCGGAUGUUAGCGGCGGACGGGUGAGUAACACGUGGGUAACCUGCCUGUAAGACUGGGAUAACUCCGGGAAACCGGAGCUAAUACCGGAUAGUUCCUUGAACCGCAUGGUUCAAGGAUGAAAGACGGUUUCGGCUGUCACUUACAGAUGGACCCGCGGCGCAUUAGCUAGUUGGUGGGGUAAUGGCUCACCAAGGCGACGAUGCGUAGCCGACCUGAGAGGGUGAUCGGCCACACUGGGACUGAGACACGGCCCAGACUCCUACGGGAGGCAGCAGUAGGGAAUCUUCCGCAAUGGACGAAAGUCUGACGGAGCAACGCCGCGUGAGUGAUGAAGGUUUUCGGAUCGUAAAGCUCUGUUGUUAGGGAAGAACAAGUGCGAGAGUAACUGCUCGCACCUUGACGGUACCUAACCAGAAAGCCACGGCUAACUACGUGCCAGCAGCCGCGGUAAUACGUAGGUGGCAAGCGUUGUCCGGAAUUAUUGGGCGUAAAGGGCUCGCAGGCGGUUUCUUAAGUCUGAUGUGAAAGCCCCCGGCUCAACCGGGGAGGGUCAUUGGAAACUGGGAAACUUGAGUGCAGAAGAGGAGAGUGGAAUUCCACGUGUAGCGGUGAAAUGCGUAGAGAUGUGGAGGAACACCAGUGGCGAAGGCGACUCUCUGGUCUGUAACUGACGCUGAGGAGCGAAAGCGUGGGGAGCGAACAGGAUUAGAUACCCUGGUAGUCCACGCCGUAAACGAUGAGUGCUAAGUGUUAGGGGGUUUCCGCCCCUUAGUGCUGCAGCUAACGCAUUAAGCACUCCGCCUGGGGAGUACGGUCGCAAGACUGAAACUCGAAGGAAUUGACGGGGGCCCGCACAAGCGGUGGAGCAUGUGGUUUAAUUCGAAGCAACGCGAAGAACCUUACCAGGUCUUGACAUCCUCUGACAACCCUAGAGAUAGGGCUUUCCCUUCGGGGACAGAUUGACAAGUGGUGCAUGGUUGUCGUCAGCUCGUGCCGUGAGAUGUUGGGUAAAGUCCCGCAACGAACCAACCCUUGAACUUAUUGCCAGGUUCAGUUGGGCACCCUUAAGGGACGGCCGGUGAAAACCGGAGGAA
rnacentral:rRNA from 1 species